UGCGCAGGCGGUCCGUUGUGUCUGCGGUGAAAUCCCCGGGCUUAACCUGGGAAUGGCCGUGGAAACUGGCGGGCUUGAGUGUGGCAGAGGGGGUGGAAUUCCGCGUGUAGCAGUGAAAUGCGUAGAGAUGCGGAAGAACACCGAUGGCGAAGGCAACCCCCUGGGCUGACACUGACGCUCAGGCACGAAAGCGUGGGGAGCAAACA
rnacentral:rRNA from 1 species